rnacentral:misc_RNA from 1 species
CAGUGCACACUGGACCUGCUGUUCCAGCUAGAAAUCCUGAUAUCAUGGACUGCCAUGGUUGGAGGACUUUCCCAUCACCUUCAUGUUUCUUCCACAAUAAUACAUCAAAAGCAUUUUUUGCAGUAAACAUGGCUGCCUGGUUUGUCCCAUUGCGCAUAACAGUUGGAGCAGCGCCUGCCCAGAGCCCAAGCAAGCCUUCUUCACGGACGAUCAUACGAGCACAGUGUAUGGGACCCUUGUACUUCAGGAGCUCAGGACUCAACCCUUUUUGUUGCUGUAGUCUAAUUUUCACCACCUCAAAAGGCGUAACAAUAGCAAGAGCCUCAAGAACCCCAGCACCAAAUCCAGCGAGAAUUCUUCCUCGAUUGCUUAGCUUGCCGGUCUCAGAGUCCUUAAACGCCGUCUGCAGUACCGCAUUUGAUCCCAUGCGCAGCGCAUAUUUCAAAGUCAAGUGGGUGGCGAACGGAGUCAACCCCUUCCACAAAGCCCGCACGCCUUCAGUUCGCGAGACCGUCGCCCCACAGUGGAUAAUUCCCUUGUAGGUGCCAGUCCUAUCGAGCUGCAACCUGGUCUUAAUAACAUCAAUCGGCUGCAAGCAAGUAGCCUCUACGAUGCCGCCAAGCGACCCCGACACCGCCUUCAUGUACGGCGGGAUCGCUGCUUUCUUCGCCGGUGAGUUGGAUUGCUGCUCGAUUGAUUCCUUCAUGAUGAAUCUUUUGCGACUGUUUGAAUGAAACUGGGGAUUCAGAGAAAAAGAAGAAAAAGAAGAAGAAGAGAAGUUGGCGAGCUCCUCUUCUUCUUCUUUUGGUUGUAUAAUUAGGAUCGCGGAGUGCAGUGAUGGUGGUAUUAGCUGCUUGUUCCGCAGCCCGCAGCCCGCAGCCCCUGUGGCGUGACCGUGAGAGGCAGCAAAUUUUAAAAAGAUUUUUU